rnacentral:rRNA from 1 species
UACGAAGGGAGCUAGCGUUGUUCGGAAUUACUGGGCGUAAAGGGUGCGUAGGCGGUUAUGAAAGUCAGAUGUGAAAUCCUUGGGCUUAACCUGAGAAUUGCAUUUGAUACUGCAUUGACUAGAGAUCGAGAGGGGAAAGUGGAAUUACGAGUGUAGAGGUGAAAUUCGUAGAUAUUCGUAAGAACACCAGUGGCGAAGGCGACUUUCUGGCUCGAUACUGACGCUGAAGCACGAAAGCGUGGGGAGCAAACAGG